CAACCAUUGUGCACCAUGAGAAAGCAAAAAGUUCUUAAUUUGCUAUUUGUUCUUAAUAAUGUCAUAGAAAACAAUCCAAAGGCCAUGCCCAUAUUAAGUUAUAACCAUUUUUUUUCUAUUCCAUUCAUGAGAUCUGUUGCCAUGUUCUACAAGAAAAUUAUUUGGCUUGACAUGAUUUAUUCCCGAUAAGUCCACAGAGGUUUCUACUUGUCUCCUUGUUAUCUUCUAAAUGCUCUGAAAUAAUGUACAUAUAGCCCUGAAUUCUAGGGCAUUUGAUGUUAAAGCAGCUAGGCUGUAAUUCUUCAUUUCCACCUUUUCAGUAAAAAUGUUUGCUGUGUUCCAGUCUCCUAGGACUUCACCCUUCCACAGUGGUUUUCAAAGACAGCUGUUUAUAAAGAGUUUCAUGCUGUUCUCUAAAUAUCUUCUAGAGCAAAUCAUCAGGACAAGUUGAGAUGUUCUGCUCUCUAACCUGAUCUUUCUUUUUUGCUUGAGCUCCUGGUGGACCUUUGUAAUGAACGGGAUGCCUGAAUAGGCUAGGUAGGGAGUGCCCCUAUUUUUUUAAUUGGUCUUUGUACCCCCAAAGGUUUUACUAAUUCUGAUGGAAUUCUGACCUAUGUCUAAGGCUUUUAAGUGGCCUUAUACUUAAUAUAAUUAAAUAAGUGUUGUGAAGUGAGGUUUCAAGACUGACAGCUAGAUAAGAUACUGAAUUCUGUUCACAUAGGAAUGUGGUAUUUGCAGAAAAGAGAACAACUUAAAAAUUAAGCUAGUCAACACAUCCCACCUGAGCAGGACAUAACUAUAUCACAUGUUCCUUUUGUGUUUUACAGAUUAUAUAAGCAGCAUUUGCAUUAUACAUGCCGUUUUCAUAAGAAAAUAUUUAACUGUGCAACACAACAUACUAUGCCUAUCUAGUGAUUAGCUAGUGAUUUUCAAAAAUGCUGUAUUUUUAUGCAUUUUAACAUUCCAAUAUGCAUAGUUUAAAUAAUUUUAGUCAGCUUUCUACAAACAAAUUACUAAUUGAAAUAUUCAGUAAGGAUUGCAAGCUGUCUGCCUCAUUUACACUUGCUAGAAUGUGAAUUGUAUUACAUCUAAUAUUUAAGACACACUAAUAAGCUAAGCUACAUUGCAGCUUAACUACUUAUUUUGAUGUAGAAGCGCUCACCCUCUAGUGACUUAAAAGAGAUUUUGUCUUUUUUUUUUUUUUUUUAAUCUGUUAUGAUCAAAUAUUUAGUGAGGAACAAAAAUCUCUGAUUUCCCAAGGGGAAUGCUCCCCAUAACAACAAUAAUCUUUUUUUAAUAUUGAUGAAAUCUUUUAAAACCACCUACCUUAAUUAAAUUUUAUUUUAAUAGUAUAGGACUUAUUUAGAUGAGAUAGUCACUGUGUUGAGACUUCUCUGAAUAGUACCUGGACUAAUUCUUUUCUGUUUCAUGUUUUAGGUCAAGCUGCAAUUCUGUCUUUAUGAUAUUGGUUGUCAGAGCACAGAACUGAUAUUUUCCUCAUCUCUCCCUCAGCUUGUGCCUACCUUAAAUAUCUCAGGCGCUUCACUUCCAAUUUAUCAAACAGACUUAUCAAAAGGACUAGGUUUUUAAUUUUAUAUGAGACACUUCAAAAGUGUCCCACUAAUGCAACUGGAGUCAAAUUCCCCAAAUUGCUCAUCAUGUUCCCAAUCCCAUAUCCAAUAGCUGCUAAAGCUAAAAUCCUUUUGAAAAUCAUUGCCUCAGUCACUGAAACUAUUAGUGGGUUUUUAAUGUUGUGUUUCGUAGGGCUUAUAAUGCCAUUCAAAAUGUUUUCUACAUGCCUUUAAUUUUCCUUCCUAAGUAUGUGCCUUCUAUUCAGGCACAUUCUAUUAUUAUAACUAUUUGAAUGACCCAUGCUUCAGUCUAUCAAAGUACUAAAGUAUCUGCUUAAGCAUAUAAGCAGCCCACAGAAUCCAGUGACCUUUCAAGUUGCAUAACCAAGUGCUUCACAUUGGAACUUAUUUUGGCUGAUGGUCGUGAGUUUGCGUUGCCAAGGGAAUUUUUGGUGACAAUAGGAGAUUAACUUAAGGCUCUGAACAGAGACAAAAUUAUAAAAAAAAAAUAAAUACUUUACUGCUAUAGCUGGAUGAGAGGGAAAUAUUGGUUUAUUUUUAUACACAACAGAACAAUUGCUAUUUUUCUUUUAUCUUGACAGAGAUUGGAAAACACCCUGCACCAUGACAAUGUGUAUGGUUUUAUCUGCUUUCCUCCCCAGCCCUUACAUUUCCAUUUAUUUUUCUGCAGUAUGUUAUUAAGCUGCUUGAAACAUGCAAGUUUUUUUUGUUUGUUAACUUUGAUUUUGGAAACUGGUGAUAAUGAUGUGUUUACCACUGUCAAUAGUGAAAGUAUCUAUUGUUAUUUAACAUUUGCAGUUUAGGGGGAUCUGUAAUACAAAGAGAGACAGUAAUGCAACUACUAUCAAGAGAGUUGCCAGCCCAGGUACAGAAACAUUCCUCGCUGUGGGAAGCACAAGGUCUUGGGAGAUUGCCACGUUCUAAGAGGGCAUCCAUAUGGCAGAAGUUAAGCUUUUAGACUGGGGAGCACAAAAACACUGUGCAAUGGAAAUCCCUGACACCUGUUUUUUAUCAGUGUGACAGUCAGCAGCAUUCCCCAUAUAUUCAUCUCUUUGACUCACAAGAACUUUCAUCAUCCUGAAUAUUGGUUUAUGGAUUUAGAGCAAUGGACUGAAAUUAAUCCACACCUCUAAACAACGUAGUUGUUUUACAAACAAAAUGACUGUCAGCAAUUUAAAGUCUUUCUCUGGAAGUCACCAGAAAAAAUGAAUGUCUCACUAGCUACCCUACCUUUCUCUAGUAAGCUGUAUACGUAAUUUGAAACUAGAGACUUUCACAGCAAAGCUGUGCUUUAUGCUCUUUUAAUGGUUUUUAGUGUCAUGUUGUGUGGUAUUACAGCGAGUAUUAAUUUCUUAUUUCAUGAAGUACAGUAAACUUAGAAGACAUGAUUGAUCUGGACCCAUGUCUAAGUAAAUAAAGCUACAGGUGGGUAAAAUCAUGCAUAUUUAUACCGGGUUUGAAUCAACUUCCAAGGAGCUUGUUUGAAAAAUCUCUCAAAUUAGUUUCAACAUUUGUUUUGUGCUAUUCACAGAACUGUAGCUUAAGACAUUUAAGUCCUAUAAUAUAGGUAUAAAAUAAUUGAGAGAAUGUAUGGGUUUUGGCAUUUACAAGUCUUUCCUCUGUUCUUUCAGCCAUGUCUUUAGCUCUGAAAAGAUGACAAUGUGACCAAAAUUUCAAUAGAGAUAAAUAAUUUAAGGCAUCAUUCAUAGACUAUUUUUUUUCCAGUCAGAAACAGAGCAAAUGGAAAGCACAAUCUUAAUGUCAGAAUGAUCUUGGAUCUUUUACAAUUUGCAUAGAUGUUUCAACAACUCAGAUUAAUGACAGUUAUCAGAAUAAGUAUUUGACCAUGAGAAUUUGAAGUACUAGAUCUGAAGAGCUAUUUUUAUAGUCAAUAAUGACUUUUUUAUUUAUAUGAAUUUCAAGGUGCAUGUGUCAGAGGACAUGAUGUCUGUAUUCUUGUUGAGUGGAAAAACUUCCACAUCAGAAGCUGUACAGAGGAGAAGAGAAGGACAAAUAAAAUUCUGAAAGACCUUUUACUGAAACAAAAGCAAAUCACAAGGUGUUCUAGUGAAAAAUAUUAAGCCUUAACUUUUCUCUUUGAUAUUCUUCCUGAGCAAUAAACAAAAAGGUGGUGCUACAGGUUUCAAGGUUUGUGGUUGGAAAGGGACAGCACCUGUGAUUUUAAAGGCAGCAGCUGGAAGGUAAAAUAUCUUAAAGAGAGCAGCUAUUAACAUUUUUAUUUCAACACAAAAUCUGAGAGCAAAUACAGAACUUAAUUGGUGGUGUGUUGUUUUGUUUUCCUUUGUUACUAUUUCUAGCUGCUUUUUUCCUUUUUUUUUUUUAUUUAUUCCUCAGUAACACUACCCUCACUAGAUUUAGAAUUCAUAGAUAGAUACUGCCUUUUCUAUCCAUGUUCUCUUACACCUCAUUUUAAAGUACUAGAUUAUGCCUUAGUUCAAACUUUCUUUUCAAUUUCCUUCUCUCCCUAGGCAUUUCUUUCAAUUGAGAGAUGUAUACCUCUAUUUCAGUCAAUGGGGAUCCACAAAAUACCUCGACACCUUCAUACCUUGAAUCAUCAGGCUCCCAACUAACUUAUUCAGUGCUGAUCACAACUCACCACAUCCUCGCCACCCUCCCCUGAGAUGUGGAAGUACUACUAUUCCAGUUUUACGGGUGAAGCUCCAGGCCAGAUUCUAAAUGAUUUAGGCACCUAACCAACAAGUUGCAUCCUACAGGAAACCAGUGAAAAUCCUGUAUAUGGAAUUAUGACAUCUCCAUAAUUGCUGUCAAAUCAUGUUAACUACUUAUCCUGGAAGAAGUUGGAGAUGACAUCUGCUAGGACAGAGAGAAACUAUGAAACAUAACUCCUGGACACAGUCGAAACAGAGUCCUAUGAAGACAAAGAUUACUCAUGAUCUGCAGCUGCAGAGACCCUUGUCACUUCCACUCAUUUUAUUGGAAAAUUUAGCAAACCUCUCUGCAUAUAAAUUUCUUCUGUUGAACUUAUUUAAAUUGAUAGAGUAGCACAAAACAGAGCAAGACUAUUUAAGAUGCAUAUCAACUUCUUUCUGAUUCUCAGCUAUUAGUAAAUGUAUGCAUGCAGUUUGGAUUUUACAUUCUAAAUAUAGUCAGCUAAUUUUGGAACUGCAACAUGUUUUACUAAAACUGAUUUAUCUAGUUGGGUCUUGAAAAACCCAGGGAUGGGGACUGCACAAUCUCUCUGGGGAUGUGAAACGGGGAUAAGCCCUUCCCGCAGUCUACCAGCCAUGCUCCUGUUAGCGCAGCACAGGAUGUUAUUGCCUUUAUUUGCUGCCAGGGCACAAUGCUGACCUGAAUUCAGCCUUUUUCAGCAGAGCUGCUCUCCACAUAGUUAAUCCUUUUGUCUCUAAUUCCUUGUCUACUAGAAGAACACGAUGCUUCUGGUCUUAAAUUGGAAGUUACCAGUUGUAGAACUCAGCGCUACUAAAGUUGGGAUGAUUUUACUUUUCCCCACUGUAUUCUCCCCCUUCCUCCUGCCUUUUGAAGAACUUCUGUAGUUUUUAGCAUCCCAGAAUAUAGCUUGCUCCUGGGAAGUGCUGGUUUUAGGAAAGAAUCAGGUUGGGGAAAGCUGGGAAAUAAAGUGCCACCUCACAGACUAUUUCUGCAGCACGUUUUGCAUCACCCCUGCCUGCCAGAGAGGCUUCUGCAUACAAGAAGUCCAAAGAACAAAGCAGCUGCAGUCAGACCAAGCCUAGCCUAUUCAGCCUAGAACACAUGGAUGGCAACUACAACUGAAGGAAGAGUAAAACAAAACACAUUUUCUUUAAAUAUUGUUUCUCAUCAAUUCUAGAUCAGGGCCUUCCUACACAAACAAAAUUUAAAUAAAUUAUUUUUUUCUCGUUUGACUUAUUUCGUAACUGACUUCAAAGCAUGCUAAGGUUGCUAUCUGCCCUGAAAUAAACUUUUCUUUAGUGAAGAUCUAAGAUAUUUACCCUGAUUUUUAUCAGAAACUACUACAUCAAAUCCUUUCAAUAUUUAAGCUCAUCCACCAUGUGAAGUCGCCACAGGAGUCUUGUGAGAUAAAACUGGAAGAAAGUGGAGUCACAGAAUGGGAGGACAGGCUUCUGCAAAGCAAUGAAGUAUGAUUCCCUAAUACCUAGCUCCUGAAUUGAAUGCCACAAAUAGCAUUGUUUACAAAUACAUGUACAUAUUUACCACAAAUUCUCAUACUUAUUGUAUCACUCUUGCAUAUGAGGGAAGAAACUGAAAAAUUCACUAUUUUCCUUUCCUGUAGCAUCGCAGCACCCAAGACAGUUAAAAACAGGUACAACCCAGGAGUGCUGGCUGCAUAGACAGCUAUAUAGCUAUGGAAAUCUCAUGACCUUACCUUCUCUGUUUUAUUUUUGGAAAAUAGCUGUUUAGAUGAGAGAACUUCAUUACUUAAGGACCAUGG